AAUGGGCGAAAGCCUGAUCCAGCAAUGCCGCGUGAGUGAUGAAGGCCUUAGGGUUGUAAAGCUCUUUUACCAGGGAUGAUAAUGACAGUACCUGGAGAAUAAGCUCCGGCUAACUCCGUGCCAGCAGCCGCGGUAAUACGGAGGGAGCUAGCGUUGUUCGGAAUUACUGGGCGUAAAGCGUGCGUAGGCGGUGACUCAAGUCAGAGGUGAAAGCCUGGAGCUCAACUCCAGAACUGCCUUUGAAACUAGGUCGCUAGAAUCUGGGAGAGGUGAGUGGAAUUCCGAGUGUAGAGGUGAAAUUCGUAGAUAUUCGGAAGAACACCAGUGGCGAAGGCGGCUCACUGGACCAGAAUUGACGCUGAGGCACGAAAGCGUGGGGAGCAAA
rnacentral:rRNA from 1 species